AAUCGGAAUUACUGGGCGUAAAGCGCACGCAGGCGGUCUGUCAAGUCGGAUGUGAAAUCCCCGGGCUCAACCUGGGAACUGCAUUCGAAACUGGCAGGCUUGAGUCUUGUAGAGGGGGGUAGAAUUCCAGGUGUAGCGGUGAAAUGCGUAGAGAUCUGGAGGAAUACCGGUGGCGAAGGCGGCCCCCUGGACAAAGACUGACGCUCAGGUGCGAAAGCGUGGGGAGCAAACAGGAUUAGAUACCCUGGUAGUCCACGCCGUAAACGAUGUCUACUUGGAGGUUGUGCCCUUGAGGCGUGGCUUCCGGAGCUA
rnacentral:rRNA from 1 species